rnacentral:rRNA from 1 species
CAGUCGCCACGGUAACACCGAGGGUGCGAGCGUUAAUCGGAUUUACUGGGCGUAAAGCGUGCGUAGGCGGCUUUUUAAGUCGGAUGUGAAAUCCCUGAGCUUAACUUAGGAAUUGCAUUCGAUACUGGGAAGCUAGAGUAUGGGAGAGGAUGGUAGAAUUCCAGGUGUAGCGGUGAAAUGCGUAGAGAUCUGGAGGAAUACCGAUGGCGAAGGCAGCCAUCUGGCCUAAUACUGACGCUGAGGUACGAAAGCAUGGGGAGCAAACAGGAUUAGAUACCCCCGUAGUCCCUGUCUCUUAUAC